GUGAUGUGAUGACUGUCCAUGUGUUUUAUCAGAUCUAACACCUUUUAUCAUCCGAGUGGUCGUUCUGCUGCUGACUCUGCUGUUAUUGAACGCUGCCCUUUACUUCUACUGUAAGGCCAGCAGUGGGCAGAUGUCGGACAGACAGCAGAACAUUAAGCUGGGUGAUUAUAACCUGGGUGUUUCUGAAACUAAAGACAAAGUAGUGAAGCACCUCAUUUGAUACCAUGAACUGAAAAAUUAAUGGACAUAGCACUGAUGGAUUCACCCUUUGGUUUGUGGACUGCCAUUCUGAAGCCGGGAGUUUGCAUUUUGGCUGUCGCCAUCUAGGUAAUCUGGAGCCAGAAGUGACCAUAUUUAGACAAGUACAUGUACAGCAGUACAUAGAGCUGGUUGAAAAUGGUCAGACUUUCUAUGAAGUAACAAGCUAAUGUUAGCGCUAGCUUUUUUGGCAGAAAGCUAAAAAAUACAUUUUAAGCCGACCAAACUUCCAAUAAUUUUUGAUGAAGUGAAAACACACAGUGAGAGGGUAAACAUAAGGGCCCUGGCACAAACAUUCGCAACACCCAAAAACAACUGCUCGUUGGACGGUUCACGCCUUGCCAUCGACCAUUAAUACCUGACAAUGGACAACUCGUCAGGUAUUACCCUCUUACAUAUUGUACAUCUCAUUAGGAAUGUGUCAAUAAACCUUAAAAUGUC